GCUGAACGCUGGCGGCGUGCCUAAUACAUGCAAGUCGAGCGAACAGACGAGGAGCUUGCUCCUCUGACGUUAGCGGCGGACGGGUGAGUAACACAUGGAUAACCUACCUAUAAGACUGGGAUAACUUCGGGAAACCGGAGCUAAUACCGGAUAAUAUAUUGAACCGCAUGGUUCAAUAGUGAAAGACGGUUUUGCUGUCACUUAUAGAUGGAUCCGCGCCGCAUUAGCUAGUUGGUAAGGUAACGGCUUACCAAGGCAACGAUGCGUAGCCGACCUGAGAGGGUGAUCGGCCACCCUGGAACUGAGACACGGUCCAGACUCCUACGGGAGGCAGCAGUAGGGAAUCUUCCGCAAUGGGCGAAAGCCUGACGGAGCAACGCCGCGUGAGUGAUGAAGGUCUUCGGAUCGUAAAACUCUGUUAUUAGGGAAGAACAAAUGUGUAAGUAACUAUGCACGUCUUGACGGUACCUAAUCAGAAAGCCACGGCUAACUACGUG
rnacentral:rRNA from 1 species